GUAGUCUUCCGGCACUGGGCUUCCGGGAGGCCAUGUUGCUUUGCGCAGCAUGCCGGGAGGUAUAGUCUUUUGGCAAUGGUUUUCCCGGUGGCCAUUUUACUCUGCAGGGCAUGCCGGGAGGUGUAGUCUUCCCAUCCUGGGCUUCUGGGAGACCAUGUUGCGCCUCUCGAGGCGGCGGGAGGUGCAGGUCUCUGUCAGCGGGGUUCCCAGGAGCCGGCCGCGUUGUGGUCUGUGGCAGGCCUGGAGCUGUAGUUCCAGGUGCCUUCCCUGUCCUGCAGCAGUGGCCUGCUGUGUCUGUUCCUUACUGGACAUGUGCUGCUCAUACGAGAGUCCCGGUACUAUAUAGAGUUGUGAUCAGUGGCGCAGAGUCUAGUUGGAGGCCUGUAGCUAGCGGUGUCCCCCAGGAGUCAGUCCUGGGUCCAGUCUUGUUCAACUUCUUCAUCAAUGACCUGGAUGAAGGCACAGAGUGCACCCUCAGCAAGUUUGCUGACGAUACCAAACUGGGAGGAG
rnacentral:lncRNA from 1 species